GACGAACGCUGGCGGCGCGCUUAACACAUGCAAGUCGAACGGAAAGGCCUGCUUUCCCUUGUGGAUUGCGGGUACUCGAGUGGCGAACGGGUGAGUAACACGUGAGUGAUCUGCCCCCAACUUGGGUAUAAGCCUGGGAAACUGGGUCUAAUUCCCGAUAGGACUGCAGGGUGGUGCCUGUGGUGGAAAACGAUUUUCUAGUGGUUGGGGAUGAGCUCGCGGCCUAUCAGCUUGUUGGUGGGGUAAUGGCCUACCAAGGCGGCGACGGGUAGCCGGCCUGAGAGGGUGGACGGCCGCAUUGGGACUGGGAUACGGCCCAGACUGCUACGGGAGGCAGCAGUGGGGAAUAUUGCAGAAUGGGCGGAAGCCUGAUGCAGCGACGCCGCGUGGGGGAUGACGGCCUUCGGGUUGUAAACUCCUUGCGACCGCGAGGAAGCCACCUGGUUGGAAGGGUGGUGACGGUAGUGGUAGAAGAAGCACCGGCUAACUACGUG
rnacentral:rRNA from 1 species